rnacentral:sRNA from 1 species
UCUUGACAGAAAAGGUGAAUGAGGUAGAAUUCGCGAGCUCCUGGGUUUUCGGCUCGAGGUGCUAGGAGGAGUGGAGAAUUAUUGAGGAAUUAGUGAAGACUAAAGAAGCAAUAAAUUUGAGACGAAUCGUAAGAGAGUUCAUUAAAAAUUAGAGAUAAGCUAAGCAAAGUGUGUGGGCGCUUGGCAAGAGUUGACAUGAGGGCUGUUGAGAGAGAUUUUGGCAGUUAUAAGUGUCAGCAACCGAGCGCUGAGAUUGUGAGAGAUCAUAAUUUGAGUGAGACGGGAUUAAACAAAAAAGUGAAGAGUUUGAUCCUGGCUCAGAUUGAACGCUGGCGGCAUGCCUAACACAUGCAAGUCGAACGGCAGCACAGUAAAGAUUUCGGUCUUUAUGGGUGGCGAGUGGCGGACGGGUGAGUAAUACGUAGGAAUCUGUCCUGGAGAGGGGGAUAACCCGAGGAAACUCGGGCUAAUACCGCAUGAUAUUGAGAAAUCAAAAGCAGGGGACCUGAAAGGGCCUUGCGCUCUGGGUUGAGCCUACGUCGGAUUAGCUAGUUGGUGGGGUAAAGGCCUACCAAGGCAACGAUUCGUAGUUGGUCUGAGAGGAUGACCAGCCACACUGGGACUGAGACACGGCCCAGACUCCUACGGGAGGCAGCAGUGGGGAAUUUUGGACAAUGGGGGAAACCCUGAUCCAGCGAUGCCGCGUGUGUGAAGAAGGCCUUCGGGUUGUAAAGCACUUUAGGUGGGGAAGAAAGGUAGUUGUUGAAUAAAUGACUGCUGUGACGGUACCCGCAGAAUAAGCACCGGCUAACUCUGUGCCAGCAGCCGCGGUAAUACAGAGGGUGCAAGCGUUAAUCAGAAUGACUGGGCGUAAAGGGCGUGUAGGUGGUUGACUAGGUUUGAUGUGAAAUCCCCGGGCUUAACCUGGGAAUUGCGUCGAAAACGGGUCGACUGGAGUGAGAUAGAGGGUUGUGGAAUUUCCGGUGUAGCGGUGAAAUGCGUAGAUAUCGGAAAGAACAUCAGUGGCGAAGGCGACAACCUGGAUCUUAACUGACACUGAGGCGCGAAGGCGUGGGGAGCAAACAGGAUUAGAUACCCUGGUAGUCCACGCAGUAAACGAUGAGAACUGGCUGUGAUGCGUAGGGAGCAAUCUCUGCGCGACGUAGCGAAGCUAACGCGUUAAGUUCUCCGCCUGGGGAGUACGGCCGCAAGGUUAAAACUCAAAGGAAUUGACGGGGGCCCGCACAAGCGGUGGAGCAUGUGGUUUAAUUCGAUGCAACCCGAAGAACCUUACCUACCCUUGACAUCCUUGGAAUGAGGCAGAGAUGCCUUAGUGCCGAAAGGAACCAAGAGACAGGUGCUGCAUGGCUGUCGUCAGCUCGUGUCGUGAGAUGUUGGGUUAAGUCCCGUAACGAGCGCAACCCUUAUCCUUUAUUGCCAACAGGUAAAGCUGGGAACUUAAGGGAGACUGCCGGUGAUAAACCGGAGGAAGGUGGGGACGACGUCAAGUCAUCAUGGCCUUUAUGGGUAGGGCUACACACGUGCUACAAUGGAGCGUACAGAGGGAAGCCAACCCGCGAGGGGGAGCCAAUCCUUUAAAACGCUUCGUAGUCCGGAUUGGAGUCUGCAACUCGACUCCAUGAAGUUGGAAUCGCUAGUAAUCGCGAAUCAGCAAGUCGCGGUGAAUACGUUCUCGGGCCUUGUACACACCGCCCGUCACACCAUGGGAGUGGGUUUUACCAGAAGGCGGUAGAUUAACUUCGCAAGAAGGGAUCGCCGACCACGGUAAGAUUCAUGACUGGGGUGAAGUCGUAACAAGGUAGCCGUAGGGGAACCUGCGGCUGGAUCACCUCCUUAUGAAAAUAAGAUAAAUAAACCCUACGCCCAGCGCCCACACACAUUGCUUAAUUUGUCAGAUAAAUAAUUUUAUAAGAUUAAUAUAGCGCUGGAGGCCAGCGGAUGUAUUUUUUUUUGGCCGAUGCCAUAAAAUAAAGCACAUUCCGUUGGCUUUCAUCGCCUUGGAAGAAUUAGAAAACAGGAUUAAUAAAGAGUUUAUUACUAGAGAAGCGAUAGAUUUUGCUUGAGUGCAAGGCGGUUUGCCGUUGAGAAGCGGAUUGUACUGGAAGGUACAUGAGCAUCGGAAACGGCAAACCAACGAAGCAAUCAAGUAACAAACGAGCUUCCUACAAGGUUAAGGGUCUGUAGCUCAGUUGGUUAGAGCACACGCUUGAUAAGCGUGGGGUCGGUGGUUCAAGUCCACCCAGACCCACCAGCUAAAAAGAGUGAUAUUUGUACCAGCUUUGCGAAGCGGAAGAUAAAGCGCUUUGGCAUAGGACUAAAAGACGAAGGUCUUUAAGGUAAAGAGGGGCCAUAGCUCAGCUGGGAGAGCAUCGGCUUUGCAAGCCGAGGGUCGUCGGUUCGAUCCCGACUGGCUCCACCAAAUACAGGCUCGUAAAAGAAUUAUAAGGGAAGAAGGAAAUAAUAAUAA